GACUCACACCUCUAUUUACUAGGUUUUAUUGGGAAUGUGAGGUGAAAUCUUUUCCCCUGGGAACAGGAAGUUUUCAGUGUUUCUUAGAAGAGGACGUGGGGACCUGAUAGCAACACACAUGUUGUUGAUGGGCGGACUUUCUCUAUCAGGGAGGCUCAGCUGGAGCAACAGAGCAGCAUUUCUGGAGGAGGGCAUAUCAGUUUUGACACCUGUUUUCAGAAUCAUCCACAGAAGCACAAAGAUCAAAUGCAGAAGGAACUGCACGUGGAAAGGCCAGCCACAUACAUCACAAAAAGAGGACUGAAGUCAGCACACAGCUUGAAAGCCGGACUACAGGCCUUUCUUCAAGAAUGGCUGGAGUGACCCUGGGGACUUGCUGCAAGAAGCAAGAGGAUUGGGCAAAGGUCAAGAGGCCAUUUGUCAAACAGCACAAGACAUGUAACAGGAUAUGCACACUACCCUGGCUAUCUCUGCAGACAGGAAGAGAGCUGCCAAGUAGGGCUGGAAAGAGACACUCGGCAGGUAGAUCUUGCCGUAACAAGGAGAAGAAACUCAUGGAUUUCACCUAAGACCAGAGAAGGGAACAUUCCCAAGAGACUUGGAGGUUCCAUCUCUCAAGCAACCUGAAAUUAGCAGGGAUUUCUCCUGCGGCUUUGCCAUGAUGUGGGGAAAAGGGAAGUGGUUUUGACGCAAGGGACAGAGGGAGUGUUGGCGGUGGCAGGGGGAGCAGGGGCAGCAGCUCACUUACGGGUUAAAACCACCCUGGAGAGGCCCAGCUCUCUGAAGUUCGACAUCAGAAUAUACAUUCGAGUAAGGGUGGUCAGUUAUUCAAUUUUUUGAGACUCACUUUCCUUGUCUUUAUACAUGAGGUUUAACAAAAUUGUCAAGAAGGUGACAGAAAACAGCAGAGGAAAAAGCUGCAGUAUAGUGGAUACUCCAUAAAUAUUGGUUCCCUUGGCUAUAUUCGUCCCCUCUUUUUCCCAAGUGUAGAGCAACAUGGAUUAAAAUUUAUUUUGUAUUUCUAGAUCUCCAGCAAAUGUAUUUAGAACUGUUCUAUUAAAUUUUCCUGGAAAAUAAAGCAUCCCUUGCAUUGAGGCUAUCUAGGUAAUCUAUUUAACAGCAUCUAAGUCUAGAAAUUCAGAAACGUCUAUAUGUGCGCCUCUCUCUGUAAUGUCCUGAUUCUUUUUUUUUUUCUCAUCCACUUGCCCAUCAGUGGUUCAGAUAUUCUCUCUAUAUUUGUGUUUGCAAAGUUCUAUUCCUGAAUGGAAUUUUCUCCCAGGAAUUCCCGACCGAGGCCAUCUGCUCUGCAGGCAGAAAGUGAAGCGACCGCAGCCUGAUGCAGCCAGGAAGGCAGAGGCUGAGAGGAGGGAGUGUGGCAUCAGAACAGAGUCCGCCGGGGCUCUGGCUUCCUCCUCCGGGAUCAAGGGAAAUGUGCGAAGCACAGUGCAGAAUCCCGGGCGGCUCAUGCCCACUCACUUGCUGGGGGAACAGAUAAAACACGAGUGAGGGGGAGAUUUUGUGGGCUGACACUCCCCAGAAAUGCUGUGUGCACAUGGGCGUGGUGAUUGAUACUUAGCGCUUUGAAGCAAACACCGUGAGACUACUCAGCAUUGGGAGAAGCUGUCCACGCGGACGCCCAGGAAGCAGCCCGGAGGAUAGGGUGCCCCAGCAGUACUGCAGAAUCCCAACUACUGACGAGAAUGAGUAAAAGAAUGCACAGAUUGGACAUGUAAAUAAACAGGUUAAAUACCCUGGCAGCUCUUGAAAACAAACCCCUUUUUCUGAAUCUGCUCAGAAACCUCCGUUCUCAUGGUCACUCGGCAACAUGCUGCGGAGAAGAAGACUCGGCCUCGGAACAGCCAUGCCCGGGUUCGAUCCCAGUCCUAGCUUGUGGCAGCCGGGUGACUGGGCAUGAUUCCUGGGCUUCAGUCCUAAUCUGUAAAACGUAGGGGCUGAAGGAGGAAGCGGGAUGGAGUGGAGACCAUUAGAAUUAAUGUAUGAGGCCAGGCGCAGUGGCUCACACCUGUAAUCCCAGCACUUUGGGAGGCCAAGACAGGCAGAUCAGGAGGUCAGGAGAUCGAGACCAUCCUGGCUAACAUGGUGAAACCCCAUCUCUACUAAAAAUACAAAAAAUUAUCCAGGCGUGGUGGCACGUGCCUGUAGUCCCAGCUACUCGGGAGGCUGAGGCAGGAGAAUUGUUUGAAUAUGGGGGGCCAAGGUUGCAGUGAGCCAAGAUCGUGCCACUGCACUCCAGCCGGGGCAACAGAGAGAGACUCCAUCUCAAAAUAAUAAUAAUAAUAAUAAUAAUAAUAAUAAUAAUAAUAAUAAUAAAUGUAUAAAAAGUGAAGUCCCUG
rnacentral:lncRNA from 10 species